CGGCCAGACUCCUACGGGAGGCAGCAGUGGGGAAUAUUGCACAAUGGGGGAAACCCUGAUGCAGCGACGCCGCGUGAGUGAAGAAGUAUUUCGGUAUGUAAAGCUCUAUCAGCAGGGAAGAAAAUGACGGUACCUGAUUAAGAAGCCCCGGCUAACUACGUGCCAGCAGCCGCGGUAAUACGUAGGUGGCGAGCGUUGUCCGGAUUUACUGGGUGUAAAGGGCGCGUAGGCGGAUCAGCAAGUCAGUCGUGAAAUACCGGGGCUCAACCCCGGGGCUGCGAUUGAAACUGUUGACCUUGAGUGUCGGAGAGGAAAGCGGAAUUCCUAGUGUAGCGGUGAAAUGCGUAGAUAUUAGGAGGAACACCAGUGGCGAAGGCGGCUUUCUGGACUGUUACUGACACUGAGGCACGAAAGUGUGGGGAGCAAACAGGAUUAGAUACCCCGGUAC
rnacentral:rRNA from 1 species